CUCUUUGGUCAGAACUUGAGGCACAAAUUAUCUGUUAAAACUAUGUACAACUUGAACAUUGUCCAUGAGAGCAUUUCUGAGAUGCACAGCUUAUGUCAGGAUUUGUGGACACUCAUUUGCUCUUGAUUAACUGCAUCAUUUUAGAUAGGAUGAACUGUGCUUCUGACCAAUGAAAAAUUAAGAUGGAGAAAACUGAUAAAUUUCAUAGACCUUUGUAUUGUGGCUGUCUAAC